rnacentral:rRNA from 1 species
AGAGUUUGAUCAUGGCUCAGAUUGAACGCUGGCGGUAUGCCUAACACAUGCAAGUCGAACGAGGUAGCAAUACAUCACCGGCGGACGGGUGCGUAACGCGUGGGAAUAUACCUAUCGAUUCGGAACAACUGAGGGAAACUUCAGCUAAUACCGAAUACGUCCUAACGGAGAAAGAUUUAUCGUCGAUAGAUUAGCCCGCGUUCGAUUAGCUAGUUGGUGGGGUAACGGCCCACCAAGGCGACGAUCGAUAGCUGUUCUGAGAGGAAGAUCAGCCACACUGGGACUGAGACACGGCCCAGACUCCUACGGGAGGCAGCAGUUGGGAAUCUUGGACAAUGGGGGAAACCCUGAUCCAGCCAUGCCGCGUGAGUGAUGAAGGCCUUCGGGUUGUAAAACUCUUUCGCGCACGACGAUAAUGACGGUAGUGCGAGAAGAAGCUCCGGCUAACUUCGUG